AUUCGACUGAUGAUUGGUUGUCUUUUGCCAAACUCGGUAGCAGUAAUGGAGAGAUGAGAAACACUCCUGUGGGACCAUUUUCUGGAUUGCUGCACAUCUGAGAUAUCAUAUUUCUAUUAUAUUUUCAACAAUUGAAAAUGAAUGGGAAACGACGCCCAGGACGAUAAUGAGAUUUACGUAUGACAAACUUCAUUAAUGUGGGCUUCAAUGUGGGUUAUUUUGCCCUUGGCUUUGUUGAUUUUACACUGCCUUUUGCUGCGGUAAACGUAAAGUGCACCCUUUAUUUUAAUUUAAAAAUGGCGUACCCCACGAGUGUUAGGCUGGGAUUUUAACAGGGUUCCUUUGGUUUCUGCUUUAGCAGUAGCAGUAAUGGAGAGAUGAGAAACACUCCUGUGAGACCAUUUUCUGGAUUGCUGCACAUCUGAGAUAUCAUAUUUCUGAAACUUUACUACCCAACAGCCAGAGCACAAGCCGCUGAUGAGUUGUUACUUACAGGACGAUCAGUUUCUUGGCAUUUCUUGAUGAUGGCCGCUGUUGUUGAGGUGAUUGUACUGUGAUCUCUUGCUGUAGCCUUCUUGGUAACAUUUUCCCUAGUUUCAGUAGCUUGAUGGAGAGACAAGAGCAAGCUAGUCCCUGGAGGCUGUUCUCUGGAGUGUAACAAAUCAGAGAUAUCACUGGUGACACUACGUCACAGCCAGAGCACAAGCUGCUGGUGAGCCGCUGGUCAUGGUACAUCCAGUUUCUUGAUAUUUCUUGAUGAUGGAGUAAUCUGUUCCUGUGCUUGAUGUUGAGUUGUAGCAUUGAUGAAGAGACAAGAUCAUACCCCUGGGAGACAGUUUUCUGGAUUUUAACACAUCACUGGCAACUGACAACACAACUCACUCGUACCACAAGCACAGCCAAGAUUUGGACUCUAGCACUGUGCCUAUCUGUUCUACUUGCUAGUCUUCUGCUGAUGGUUGAACAGUGAUAUGCUCCAUGCUGUGACAUGUUCAACCUCUCACAUCAUUUUCUUAUUUUGUCUGUCCUGGAAUAGCAUGAGCAAAUUCGGGGUGCAAUUUCUGUUGUAUAAGUGCAUUGAGCCUUUUAAGGGCAAUAAAAGUAACACCAGCAUGAUUUGAUUUCCUCAACAUAACAGAACUGGUAAUUUGCAACUGUUGCAGUGACCGUUUGUCUUGUGGUGGCAACAAAAGGUUUUGUUGAAAGGUUCCUAUUUUGCAUGGUUUUUCUGUACCAUCUGGUGUACCUCAAGGAAGUGUCUAUUGUCCAAUCCACUUCAAUUUAUGUAUGUCAACGACCUUCCUUAUCAUAUCGUGUCAGCUAGCACUUUAUUUGGUAACAAUGCUCUUGCAUAUAUAGGCCAAUAUUAUGUCAGUCUGAUGACCUUCAUCAACAAGAUGUUCAUGGCUUCCAUAGAUGUUGUCAUGCUAAUAUGCAUCUCAAUAAAUUACGAAGGAAACCAAAGUUAUACGUAUAGUAUGGUUUAAGAAAAUAGUGGAUCCAAAGUAUACUUUGGUUAACAUGCAGUUUUGAAGUUGAGAAUGAGUGCAAAUAUCUUCGUGUAAUAAUUUCAACUACUAAAUUUCUUGGGAAAAUCAUGUUAUGUCACUACCAAAUCAACCAGACUCAGUAUCUUGCUUUCAUUUUGUCAGUUUAUAGUGUUGACUGUUCUGGAAUACCAGUAGCCUACCUUCACAACAGAAACCUUAUAUAUUAACAAAUUAGACCAAAAUUCAACAUUGAGCAACCAAGAUAGUUCUCUAGCAAAGAAGAUUUGAAAUGGAACAGUGAUUGGUUGCAUACGUACAUUGAAUUUGUCUUUAUGAGAAUCUAAAUGCAUCCAUAUUUUGCUUACAUUUGUUGUUAGAGGUCUCCGUGGAGUUUUUGACAGUGAAAUAGUCUCAGUGAACAGUUCGAACAUGUAUAUUGGAAACGAUCAGGCUGGACAAACCUUACGGCUCAAAUACAAAAACCUUCACAUUUUGCCAAUUGCAUGCUUUAGGAUGAACUACAUGUACAUGUACCUGAACGUAUGAGAACAAGUGGUUUAACUGACCCUUCAACACCGGAUCAACUUAACCAAGUGCCCACUUGAAUUUGAAAGUUUAUGAAACUUUACAGAGUGCUGAUUGAAUUUGCAGUUGAGUACCUUUGUAAUAAGUUCGUUGGGACUGGCAGGUUGUGGGAGGGGCAUUGUUGUUUGGUGUAAGGGAGCACAACAUUUGGGGAUUUGAUACCCAGGAUUUGCCAUGUGGACCAGAUGUGUCGAUGGUUUUCUUUUUGUUGUUCUUCAACUGUAUUUUGUUAUUUCGUGGUGUCCUUCUUUCAUUUGGUUUUACACAAUAAAUUUCUUUCAUUGUUUUGAAGGUACUUGUCAUUGAUUUAUGUACUUGUUUCUGUAAUUAUUUUAUUUUCAUUACUGUAAUGUAUUUGUGUGUCAUAUUUAUCUUAGUUUUGCCGACUGAAUGUACUUUUUCUGUUCGAUUUAUUUAGUUGUUAUUUCUUGAAUCAUAUUUUCCUUGUAUAGUUACUUUAUUGUGUAUGUGUGGUCACGUUUAUGUAAAAGCUGGAACUUCAGAAAGGAAGGCUCACGUCAAACUCUUUCCUCUCUGUGCAUUUGUAACGUUUGUGUUCGUGAUUUCAGUGUAUAUGUGCUAUGUGUUUUGUUUAAUGUUCUGUUCUUUAUCCUGGAAAAUGCUGAAUAAAUGAAAGUGUUUCCCCCAUUGUACACA
rnacentral:lncRNA from 1 species